rnacentral:rRNA from 1 species
GACGAACGCUGGCGGCGUGCCUAAUACAUGCAAGUAGAACGCUGAAGAGAGGAGCUUGCUCUUCUUGGAUGAGUUGCGAACGGGUGAGUAACGCGUAGGUAACCUGCCUUGUAGCGGGGGAUAACUAUUGGAAACGAUAGCUAAUACCGCAUAACAAUGGAUGACACAUGUCAUUUAUUUGAAAGGGGCAAUUGCUCCACUACAAGAUGGACCUGCGUUGUAUUAGCUAGUAGGUGAGGUAAUGGCUCACCUAGGCGACGAUACAUAGCCGACCUGAGAGGGUGAUCGGCCACACUGGGACUGAGACACGGCCCAGACUACUACGGGAGGCAGCAGUAGGGAAUCUUCGGCAAUGGGGACAACCCUGACCGAGCAACGCCGCGUGAGUGAAGAAGGUUUUCGGAUCGUAAAGCUCUGUUGUAAGUCAAGAACGGGUGUGAGAGUGGAAAGUUCACACUGUGACGGUAGCUUACCAGAAAGGGACGGCUAACUACGUG